AGGGUGCUCACCUGCAUUCAUUAGGCCUCUUUCCACCUACCAAACCAGUUCAACAGAGUCCUACAAAUGCUUGUAUAGAAAAUGUUCCUGGGACUUUAAAAUCAAGUGCCUAGGCAACUUUUUGAGUUGGGCUUUUAUUUACAUUUUGGGGAAAACCCCUCAACUGGGAAAUCAAAUCAACUGGACCCACAAGGAUGGGUCUCAUGGAUGUUCCCCGGGACCACGAUGUGACUUGAGGGCUGCCAUAAGGAGAAAAUGUUUUUUGUUUUGUUAUUUUGGACAAACUUUACUUGUGCUAAAUAAAUUGAAGUUCUUUAUAGUACUAUAUAAUCAACGAAUUGUACUUCUUUCUAUGUGCUAAAAUGACCCCACUUAAAGUAUACUAGGUGUAGUUGUAAGACAUUAUUUGAGAUGUCUUCUAUACACUUACAAUGUAGAGACAUGGAGAGCUACUUGCAAAUAGUAUGAAAUACAGCAGAAGUGUCACUAGAUUAUCCCAUGUGCUCUUCAGCUUUGGUGUACUCUUUCAGUACUUCAAUACAGACUUUUGUCAAACUG